ensembl:lncRNA
CUGUCUCUCUCUUUUCUUUUCUCAGAGCCUGAUGAUGUGAGGCUGGUGGGAGGAGGCAGUCGCUAUGCUGUCGACCAGGGAGAUGGAGGACGGUGGGAGCUGACGACUGGGGCUUGGCCAGGACGCCUGCAGCUGCAGUAGUGUGUAGACAGCUGUGUUGUUUAGUGGUACGACCAGGACAGUGGCCAGGACGCCUGCAGCUGCAGUAGUGUGUAGACAGCUGUGCUGUUUAGUGGUACGACCAGGACAGUGGGAGCUGACGACUGGGGCCUGGCCAGGACGCCUGCAACUGCAGUAGUGUGUAGACAGCUGUGCUGUGGCUCCACUGUUUCAGAACUACUUGGAAACAUCACUACAUGGUUUGGAGUUUACUGUUAUGGGAUCUGAACCUUCACUGAGGAAAUGUUGAAGAACACCUGAACUCCUUCGGUGGACUCACAGUGAUCUGCUCAGUGACUGUAGGCCCACUAGACCACCAGGAGGCAGAAGAGAGUGAACAGGGUGAGCAGCAUGGAUCUUUAUGUCAAUGCCAUGGAGAUGGUCUCUCUGAGCUCCAGAGCUGAAGCUGGACCGGGAGAGGAGAGAGCAGCCCAGGGGACGGAGUAGGAUGAAGCUGACCCUACAUGCUGAUCCCAGUGGGCGGAGUCGUGACUGAGAGCUGUGCUCUGGUUGGCUAAGCUGGA